rnacentral:rRNA from 1 species
AACGAACGCUGGCGGCAGGCUUAACACAUGCAAGUCGAACGGGUGUAGCAAUACAUCAGUGGCAGACGGGUGAGUAACACGUGGGAACCUUCCUCGGGGUACGGAACAACUCAGGGAAACUUGAGCUAAUACCGUAUACGUCCGUGAGGAGAAAGAUUUAUCGCCCUGAGACGGGCCCGCGUCGGAUUAGCUAGUUGGUGGGGUAACGGCCUACCAAGGCGACGAUCCGUAGCUGAUCUUAGAGGAUGAUCAGCCACACUGGGACUGAGACACGGCCCAGACUCCUACGGGAGGCAGCAGUGGGGAAUCUUGGACAAUGGGCGCAAGCCUGAUCCAGCCAUGCCGCGUGAGUGAAGAAGGUCUUCGGAUUGUAAAGCUCUUUUGCCAGGGACGAUAAUGACGGUACCUGGAGAAUAAGCCCCGGCAAACUUCGUGCCAGCCGCCGCCGCAGUAA